GAUGAACGCUGGCGGCGUGCCUAAUACAUGCAAGUCGAGCGAACAGAUGAGGAGCUUGCUCCUCUGACGUUAGCGGCGGACGGGUGAGUAACACGUGGAUAACCUACCUAUAAGACUGGGAUAACUUCGGGAAACCGGAGCUAAUACCGGAUAAUAUAUUGAACCGCAUGGUUCAAUAGUGAAAGACGGUUUUGCUGUCACUUAUAGAUGGAUCCGCGCCGCAUUAGCUAGUUGGUAAGGUAACGGCUUACCAAGGCAACGAUGCGUAGCCGACCUGAGAGGGUGAUCGGCCACACUGGAACUGAGACACGGUCCAGACUCCUACGGGAGGCAGCAGUAGGGAAUCUUCCGCAAAGGGCGAAAGCUUGACGGAGCAACGCCGCGUGAGUGAUGAAGGUCUUCGGAUCGUAAAACUCUGUUAUUAGGGAAGAACAAAUGUGUAAGUAACUAUGCACAUCUUGACGGUACCUAAUCAGAAAGCCACGGCUAACUACGUG
rnacentral:rRNA from 1 species